rnacentral:rRNA from 1 species
UACGGAGGGUGCAAGCGUUAUCCGGAAUCACUGGGUUUAAAGGGUGCGUAGGCGGUUUUUUAAGUCAGUUGUGAAAUUCCCUCGCUUAACGAGUGGGACUGCGAUUGAUACUGAAGAACUUGAAUCAGGUUGAGGUAGGCGGAAUGAGACAUGUAGCGGUGAAAUGCAUAGAUAUGUCUUAGAACACCGAUUGCGAAGGCAGCUUGCUGGACCUGAAUUGACGCUGAGGCACGAAAGCGUGGGGAGCAAACAGG